AAUCCUCAGGCAGCAAUCGUCUUAUGCCAUCCACCUACCACAUCAUUUCUCGAGAGCGUCUAAGUAUUCCACACUGCAAGCCAGGAGACGUAGUCAGUGGUUAUCGAUCUGGCAAUAUUGGAAAGCAUUCUUUCCAAUACAUCACCUCUGGCGUUUCGGACUCUUGAUAACAACGGGGGUAGCAUGGAGGAGGUAACAAAAGAAAAUCCACUCUCGAGAGUUAAUAAUGUUGUGCGGAAGCUUCCGUCUAAAGGGGGCAUUUUCUCUCGAGUCGCUCAAGUUCUUGAUUUCAGUAAACAUCAUUCGCGCCUAGGACCCAGUCCUGGCGAAUACCCCAGACUAGACCGUCCAACGCGUGUUUUUACUGAGCCAAAUUCACCAAAUACCAAUCCUUAUCCUACAAGUCACAAAAUUUGGGAACGAGUAUCAACACCGCCCAUAACUACACCAGAAAUAUCCGGCCAAAGGACUCCACGCUUUUUCCCUACCCAUAUUUGUGGCCCGAUGCACCGCAACAAUGUCUUUACUCGCUUUUCAUGUCCCCUCCCAAUCACAAGCGCAAGAAUAGAUAUAACGAUGGAUGCUAUAAACAUUUCAGCGCGUGAGGAUCUCUUCACAUGGGCUGCAGUGGAAAUAUCCGCAAACGUUAAUA
rnacentral:sRNA from 2 species